rnacentral:rRNA from 1 species
UACAGAGGGUGCGAGCGUUGUCCGGAAUCACUGGGCGUAAAGGGCGCGUAGGCGGCCUGAUAAGUCGGGGGUGAAAUCCUGUGGCUUAACCACAGGGCUGCCUCCGAGACUGUCGGGCUCGAGCACAGUAGAGGCAGGUGGAAUUCCCGGUGUAGCGGUGGAAUGCGUAGAGAUCGGGAAGAACAUCGGUGGCGAAGGCGGCCUGCUGGGCUGUUGCUGACGCUGAGGCGCGAAAGCGUGGGGAGCGAACAGG